GUGGGGAAUUUUGGACAAUGGGCGAAAGCCUGAUCCAGCCAUGCCGCGUGCAGGAUGAAGGCCUUCGGGUUGUAAACUGCUUUUGUACGGAACGAAAAGACUCUGGUUAAUACCUGGGGUCCAUGACGGUACCGUAAGAAUAAGCACCGGCUAACUACGUGCCAGCAGCCGCGGUAAUACGUAGGGUGCAAGCGUUAAUCGGAAUUACUGGGCGUAAAGCGUGCGCAGGCGGUGCUGUAAGACAGGCGUGAAAUCCCCGGGCUUAACCUGGGAAUUGCGCUUGUGACUGCAGUGCUGGAGUGCGGCAGAGGGGGAUGGAAUUCCGCGUGUAGCAGUGAAAUGCGUAGAUAUGCGGAGGAACACCGAUGGCGAAGGCAAUCCCCUGGGCCUGCACUGACGCUCAUGCACGAAAGCGUGGGGAGCAAAAGGGAUUAGAAACCCCGGUAGUCC
rnacentral:rRNA from 1 species